GGUCCUUGCCCAGUACCCUUCUUGCUCCAGGCAGUCUGUGGUUUAUGGACUUCCCAAAGCAGAGGCUGCCUCCAGACCAGUGUGUUUUAAUAGCCACCCAUGGAUCUAUCCUCCUUGAAUUUUUUUUGAUCCUUUUCUCAAGCCAUUUAUAACUUCUGGCCUCCGCAACAUCCUGUGGCAACGAGUUCCACAAUUUAAUUAUGCUUUGCAUGGAAAAAGUACUUCCUUGUGUUGGUUUAAAUCUUCUUGCGUGAAUGUUUUGUUGGGUCCCCUCUACUUCUUACAAGAAGCCACAGACAACUAUUUCCUAUUUGCCUGUUUCUGUGUCAUUCAUAAUCAAACAGAUGUUGAGUGUAUUUCCUGCCUUUAUCAUCCCCUUCCAUCCUGGAAACUCACCUCUUUCAUUUCUCAGCUGUAUGGAAGCUGUUUUCCACCUCUCCUCAUCCUGGGUGCUUUUCAGCUCAACCACCCUUCUGGAGGCCAGAAAACCCACUAUUGUCACGACGCAGUUUCACUGAUGAUUGCUAGAGUGGUGGAGUUCUAUUUUGCUCCUGCUGCUUUUCCAGGCCCUGUUGUCCUUGACCACCUUGGUAACAUUUCUGCUAUUGCUCCUGCAUCAGCUCAUCUCUUUUGUUUCUCAGUGAUGAAAGAAGUGCACAACAUUGAAGCUGAACGCUCAUCUGUGCCUGGUGCACUAUCCCUGUCUGAUUUGCUCGCUACGACUGCAUUUCCCUUUUCAUGGCUACAGCAUAGUUGUGGCUCAAAGUCACCCUGUGAUUAGAGUACAUCGAAGUCUUCUUCCUCCCCGAGCAGCUUUAAGUGCAUGGCUCAUACUGAAUGUUUUCUUAGUAACAAUACCCAGCUCUGCGGUGAUCUGCAUGAGCUAUGGGUCUGGGCCCCUUCUCCAGAAGAGUCAGACUUUGCCAGCUGACACCAGCUGCAGAACCAGUUCUCAGUAUUCAGUGCACUUGGGGAGAAAGAAACAAGUAGUAAACCAAAGACAAACAGAGCUACAGUCAAACGUAUUAUAACACUACCAACCAAGACAGCUGCUUCUGCCAACAUGGAAACAAGAUAGGAACUAGAGUGUUUCUAUUUUUGCAUUCAAAUAGAAACAGAUGGAGAGGACUUGGGGAAUUUAUCAAACCAAAUAAAUAUUUUUCAUUUUAAAAUUUGAAUGGAAUGGAAAUUAUAAUCUGCCACUGUUACCAUGGAGCUGAAUAUUGUCCUUCCCCUCAUCCGGCCUUUAGCAGUAAGGAGUUGGUUGCGGCAGGGCUGGAGUUUUGCAGUUUUCUUCCUCACCCAACCCAGCUCUCUCCUUUGAAUUACACUGCCUGGUUACCGACUGCAGAAAGAAGAGUCAGGUUUUGCAAUAUUUUUUUUAUGGAUUGCUAGCUGAAAAAUGAGAACAAAAUGAACUUCUGGAUAGCAGGCACCACUGUUUUUCACUAUUCUUACCUAAGUUAAAGCAGUGAACCUCCACUUCCAAACUGAGAGGAGCCAAAGUGCCCAACUUCAGACCUUCCUGUGUGCCAGCUCCAAGCCAGUGGGAUGACUGGGAGGCUGGAGCCACACCAAAGCUGGGGAUUUUGAGCCAGAUUGCUGCCACCACCUUCUUAUCUCAGACCAAGAGCACCUGAGGCUGCCUAAAACCUGCUAGAAACAGCCCAGUGAGGUGGAGCACUUUCUUGCAAUGACUUACAGAAUGUCACAGCCAAAUCCAAAAAGUGUUUUAAAAGUGAGGAUGCAGUACAAAUGGAACAAACUUGGUCAUUAACUCUGGAUAUUCCACUGCCUCAAGAGUAGAACCUCUCUGCUUGGUCAAAUAGGUAAUAAAAUAGAUUAACAGAUAAUCUAAGAGGCUCUCCAUUGCCUUUUUUUUUUUUAAACUGUUUCCAGUAAACAGCCCCAUGCCUGUAAAUAUUUUAGAACAGGAAAAUAUUUAGUGACCCAGGUACUGAAAGGGCUGCCAUUAACCCUGCAAUAGACUUUUGCAUCCGCAAAUGCCCCUGAAAACAAAUGGAUUAGACUAAUUGCAUUCAUUCAGAUUAGCAAACAGCCCGAUAAGCCAGGACCGUGGUCCAUAAUGGCACAAUGCCCUUGGAGACUCCUUUCCUAGGACUGUAUCAGCAGUGCUACACACUGCAGGCAUCACACAAGUGUGCUGCUGCCAUUAAACUCCUGUUCUUUAAGAGCUUAAGAGGCCGAUUCAAACAUUUUUUCCUUCCUUGAACUGUAUUUAAAUCAAGUCACUUCUCUACAUUUUUCACCUGAAUAAAGAGCAUUUUUCUGUUAUGUUAAGGUUUGUAGGUGACGUCCUUUAAUGUUACUAUUAUUGUAAUUAUUUAAAAAAACACAACAAUAAAACAGUAAGUAUGACGCUUCCUUGUACUUCUUGGUUCGAGAUGGAAUCAGAAAUCCAAAAAGCAAAGCAUCUGCAAAAGCCCUGUGGUCGGGAGAUCCC
rnacentral:lncRNA from 1 species